AUACGUAGGCAGCAAGCGUUGUUCGGAAUUACUGGGCGUAAAGAGUGCGUAGGUGGUUGGCUAAGUUUGGUGUGAAAUCUCCCGGCUUAACUGGGAGGGUGCGCCGAAAACUGGCUGGCUAGAGUGUGGGAGAGGGACGUGGAAUUCCUGGUGUAGCGGUGAAAUGCGUAGAUAUCAGGAGGAACACCUGCGGUGUAGACGGCGUCCUGGACCAUUACUGACACUGAGGCACGAAAGCGUGGGGAGCAAACAGGAUUAGAUACCCUGGUAGUCCACGCCCUAAACGAUGCAAACUUGGUGUGCGCCCUUCAUUGGGUGCGUGCCGAAGCUAACGCGUUAAGUUUGCCGCCUGGGGAGUACGGUCGCAAGGCUGAA
rnacentral:rRNA from 1 species